GACGAACGCUGGCGGCGUGCCUAAUACAUGCAAGUCGAGCGGACGGAUGGGAGCUUGCUCCCAGACCGUCAGCGGCGGACGGGUGAGUAACACGUGGGCAACCUGCCUGUAAGACUGGGAUAACUCCGGGAAACCGGGGCUAAUACCGGAUAACUCUUUCCCUCACAUGAGGGAAAGCUGAAAGAUGGCAUCUCGCUAUCACUUACAGAUGGUCCCGCGGCGCAUUAGCUAGUUGGUGAGGUAACGGCUCACCAAGGCGACGAUGCGUAGCCGACCUGAGAGGGUGAUCGGCCACACUGGAACUGAGACACGGCCCAGACUCCUACGGGAGGCAGCAGUAGGGAAUCUUCCGCAAUGGACGAAAGUCUGACGGAGCAACGCCGCGUGAGUGAUGAAGGUCUUCGGAUCGUAAAACUCUGUUGUCAGGGAAGAACAAGUACCGGAGUAACUGCCGGUACCUUGACGGUACCUGAUCAGAAAGCCACGGCUAACUACGUG
rnacentral:rRNA from 1 species